rnacentral:lncRNA from 1 species
AGGGGGAGAGUGAUGGGCGUGGCCAGCAUGCGCGCGGCUUUCCUCCCCACCUACCAUUCGUUACCGUGGCAACGGGAACAGCGCGCCAGCGCGUGACUCGCGGAGACCAGCUUAAGAUGGCGGACGAUCUGGAUACGUUGUUGGACGAGGUAGAGAACAAGUUUUGUCGUCUCUCGAGGCGGGACUGCUCGGAGCGGCUCCGAGCAAGCCAGAGUCGGAAAAGGGACCGCAUUCUCGAGAAGGAAGAAGAGGCGGAAGCAGAGGCAGCCGCGGCGGGGGAGAGGGCCAGAUUUACCAAAAUAUUGACAAAAGGAACCAGUGAAGAAGAGGACAUUGAUGAAAUAAUUAAGGAUAUAGAUGAAAGUACUUAUAUCAGAAAUUUCACAAAACAAACUCCUAGAUUAUUCAGCUCAGCAUCUGAAAAUAGCACCUCCAUUCAAACCCAUGGUAAGAAGUAAGUAAGAUUUACAAUUAAAUAAAUAAUGUUUAGUAAAUGACUAACUUAGAUUUCAUUGCAUUGGCACUCAGUCAAGAAAAAGAUGUUGGGUUGGAUCCAGAAUUUGUUACACUUAGAUUCCAUUCAUUAUUGUUGCAUCUUUUUUGCAACAAUUGUGCACAUAAGCAUUCAAAACUGAAUAUGCUAAGCAACAGAAUAUGUGGAAGGAAAUGAAAGCAGGGG